rnacentral:rRNA from 1 species
UACGAAGGGGGCUAGCGUUGCUCGGAAUUACUGGGCGUAAAGCGCACGUAGGCGGAUUGUUAAGUCGGGGGUGAAAUCCUGGAGCUCAACUCCAGAACUGCCUUCGAUACUGGCGAUCUCGAGUUCGGGAGAGGUGAGUGGAACUGCGAGUGUAGAGGUGGAAUUCGUAGAUAUUCGCAAGAACACCAGUGGCGAAGGCGGCUCACUGGCCCGAUACUGACGCUGAGGUGCGAAAGCGUGGGGAGCAAACAGG